rnacentral:rRNA from 1 species
GAUGAACGCUGGCGGCGUGCUUAACACAUGCAAGUCGAACGGAAAGGCCCAAGCUUGCUUGGGUACUCGAGUGGCGAACGGGUGAGUAACACGUGGGGGAUCUGCCCUGCACUUCGGGAUAAGCCUGGGAAACUGGGUCUAAUACCGGAUAGGACCACAUUUUGGAUGGUGUGGUGGAAAGUUUUUCGGUGUGGGAUGAGCUCGCGGCCUAUCAGCUGGUUGGUGGGGUAAUGGCCUACCAAGGCGUCGACGGGUAGCCGGCCUGAGAGGGUGUACGGGCACAUUGGGACUGAGAUACGCACCAGACUCGUACGGGAGGCAGCAGUGGGGAGUAUUGCGCAAUGGGCGCGAGCCUGAUGCAGCGACGCCGGGUGGGGGAUGCCGGCUUUCGGGUUGUAAACUCCUUUCUCUGUGGACGAAGCGCAAGUGACGGUACCUGGAGAAGAAGCACCGGCUAACUACGUG